AGUGAACGCUGGCGGUAGGCCUAACACAUGCAAGUCGAACGGCAGCACAGUAAGAGCUUGCUCUUACGGGUGGCGAGUGGCGGGCGGGUGAGGAAUACAUCGGAAUCUACUUUUUCGUGGGGGAUAACGUAGGGAAACUUACGCUAAUACCGCAUACGACCUACGGGUGAAAGCAGGGGAUCUUCGGACCUUGCGCGAUUGAAUGAGUCGAUGUCGGAUUAGCUAGUUGGCGGGGUAAAGGCCCACCAAGGCGACGAUCCGUAGCUGGCCUGAGAGGAUGAUCAGCCACACUGGAACUGAGACACGGUCCAGACUCCUACGGGAGGCAGCAGUGGGGAAUAUUGGACAAUGGGCGCAAGCCUGAUCCAGCCAUACCGCGUGGGUGAAGAAGGCCUUCGGGUUGUAAAGCCCUUUUGUUGGGAAAGAAAAGCAGCAGGUUAAUACCCCGCUGUUCUGACGGUACCCAAAGAAUAAGCACCGGCUAACUUCGUG
rnacentral:rRNA from 1 species